UAACGUAGGGAAACUUACGCUAAUACCGCAUACGACCUACGGGUGAAAGCAGGGGACCUUCGGGCCUUGCGCGAUUGAAUGAGCCGAUGUCGGAUUAGCUAGUUGGCGGGGUAAAGGCCCACCAAGGCGACGAUCCGUAGCUGGUCUGAGAGGAUGAUCAGCCACACUGGAACUGAGACACGGUCCAGACUCCUACGGGAGGCAGCAGUGGGGAAUAUUGGACAAUGGGCGCAAGCCUGAUCCAGCCAUACCGCGUGGGUGAAGAAGGCCUUCGGGUUGUAAAGCCCUUUUGUUGGGAAAGAAAUCCAGCCGGCUAAUACCUGGUUGGGAUGACGGUACCCAAAGAAUAAGCACCGGCUAACUUCGUGCCAGCAGCCGCGGUAAUACGAAGGGUGCAAGCGUUACUCGGAAUUACUGGGCGUAAAGCGUGCGUAGGUGGUUGUUUAAGUCUGUUGUGAAAGCCCUGGGCUCAACCUGGGAACUGCAGUGGAAACUGGACAACUAGAGUGUGGUAGAGGGUAGCGGAAUUCCCGGUGUAGCAGUGAAAUGCGUAGAGAUCGGAGGAAC
rnacentral:rRNA from 1 species